GUUGGCUGCCAAGGAGGGAGGCCCUGGUGAGCCAUGAUGUCUAAUGUCGCCGUCCACCCCUCCCUCCCCAGGCCGGAGAGACCUGACCCUGGCCACACACUACAGAAGAGCCUGCCCUGUUGACGUCUGAAGGGACCUAGCAGAGGCCUUGGACACCCUGAAUAUGCCAGAAAUGGGUCCAGAGACAUGACCUCGUCCAGCUUUCAAGUUCAAGAGGCUUUGAGGGGCUUACGAGCUCUAUGUAUACCAAGACCGGCAAGGACGAGAACAAAGGUCACCUGAAGGAAGCAGGUGGAAUCUAUGUUAUUGCCCCCAGAGUUGGGUUUGUUCCUUCUGAGACAUCCAUCCUGGUUCUAAGAAGCUUGGGAGAAGAGAGCUCACGUGGAGGUAUGUCAGGGAGAGGAGGAGAUGCAUUCCUCUCUGGAGAAACGCAAAGAACACUCAGGAUGAUGACAGUGGGGAUCGCACACUCGGGUCAGGGGUCAUGGUUUUCUGGAGAUUGAACAUAUGGUUCAAGAUUUUCACCCUCUUCACACUGUACCCUCUAGUGCUUGGAGGCCGCACCGUCCCAACCAUGAAGGAUGUGCAUGAGCACAAAUGUGAGAAGGAGCAAUUGGAUUCAAUCUCCUUGUUUUGUGUCUGAAAGAACCAAGACCCCCAUAAGCAUGUGACCUUCUCAGGGUCAUAGUGGCGGGCGACAGAGUGGGGCCAGACCCAGCGCUGCUAUCACAGCUAAGGU